CACAUAAACCACUGUAUGCGCACAAUUCAAAUCUUCUUAGAACUUAAGAAAUAAACUUCAACCUUAUCAACUACUUCAGUAAAGUUUAAUCAAUUAGAUGUUCUUUUUGUUUUUCUCACGUGCACCAAAACUGCRGUCUAUUUUUAUGACUUUGUCUCUUUUAUAAUCCGCAUUACAUGCACAUGACCAGAGACAAAGCCUGGACGCUCCUUCCUUCCAACAUAUAUAUAGAACAAGCCGAGGUCAAAAGAGGAUGGAAUUAAAGAAUGAAAGAAAGAUUGUAGAAAGAAUGAAAAAGAGAAGAGAAGACUCCAAGCAAGUCAUAACGCUAUAAGAGUAAUAUAAUCUAUAAGUCUGGGCUUUCCCAAAUCUUAUUUUUACAACAAAAUAUAUAAUACGUGGCUCUAA